rnacentral:rRNA from 1 species
UACGUAGGUGGCAAGCGUUGUCCGGAUUUACUGGGCGUAAAGAGCGCGCAGGCGGUCGUUCAAGUCGCGUGUGAAAGCCCCCGGCUCAACUGGGAGGGUCACGCGAUACUGAUCGACUCGAAGGCAGGAGAGGGUAGUGGAAUUCCCGGUGUAGUGGUGAAAUGCGUAGAUAUCGGGAGGAACACCAGUGGCGAAGGCGACUACCUGGCCUGUUCUUGACGCUGAGGCGCGAAAGCGUGGGGAGCAAACAGGG